UUGCAAUGAUGACAAUCUUAGGACACCUUUGGAUAACCCAUGAAAAGAACUUUUUGUUUAAACUGAGCAAU